UGAGGAAUAUUGGGCAAUGCCCGCAAGGGUGACCCAGCAACGCCGCGUGGAGGAUGAAUGUCGUAAGAUUGUAAACUCCUGUUAGAGGGGAAGAAUAGUACCGGUUGGACCGGUAUAUGACUGUACCCUCAGAGAAAGCCCCGGCUAACUACGUGCCAGCAGCCGCGGUAAUACGUAGGGGGCAAGCGUUGUCCGGAUUUACUGGGUGUAAGGGGCGCGCAGGCGGGAUAAAAAGUCAGUGGUGAAAUCCUACAGCUUAACUGUAGAACUGCCUUUGAUACUUUUAUUCUUGAGUUCGGGAGAGAGAGACGGAAUUCCAGGUGUAGUGGUGAAAUACGUAGAUAUCUGGAAGAACACCAGUUGCGAAGGCGGUCUCUUGGUCCGACACUGACGCUGAGGCGCGAAAGCGUGGGGAGCAAACA
rnacentral:rRNA from 1 species